rnacentral:snRNA from 1 species
AUAUAUAUAUAUAUAUAUAUAUAUAUAUAUAGUGUUUCUCUUACAACGCCGAAUUUAUGUGGCUCUAUUUGGACCCAAGAUAUAAAACUUAUUUUUGGAAGUGGGCGGAGUGCUUCAAGUCUGCUUCACCUCCGCCGCGGGUCGGCCCGGUAUUGCACAAUCUCCGGGAUCGGCCCACGCAUU